rnacentral:sRNA from 1 species
GUAUGUGAACAUGUUAAAUACAACAUUGCUUUGGAAUGGCUAAAAACAUUAAUAAAAGACUGAAAACAUAA